CUGCAUGGUGAUUCCCAGACAAAAGAAACAGGAUUGCAUUCAUCCUCCAACAAAGCUUGCUGUGCGCCUCCAUUUAGAAACAAUACUUUCUGAUUUUAUCACUCAUACCUGCAGCCUUCCAGGCCAGAAGUACAGUCCUUCAGAAAGCCACCCCGUUCAUCUUCCCAACCUCGCAGCCACGUGAGCUCACAUCUCAGCGACUCCCAUUCUGGUUGCUUUUCUCCCCAAGUCCAUGAGCAUCACCAUCUCCGUGGCACACCUCACAGCAUCAUCAAACCUGAAGCUUUUGGGGGUGAGAAGUAGGCCAGCCCUCAGCCAAAAUGGGGCUGCCAAUUUUGUUCGAGGGGCAGUCACUGAGGGCACUUGUGAGAAGCAAUCUUCGGGCUUUCUGGCAGUAUCUGACUGCUGAAAAGCAGUGUUACAGAGAGUAAAGAAUGACAGUAAGAGACUAGCAAAUAAUAGCUCCUCAGAAGCAAUAUUCACUGCAGAGUAAAAAGACAACUUGAGAGAGUUCUGUACAUAUUAAAGAUGCUUACCCGUGCACUGUGUGCCUAUUAACACCCUUGCUGUUAUCCAGGCAUGGCACCAAAGCUGCAUUUUCCAUAAUGUUUCACCAGCCUCUUGCAUUAAGAUGUUCAUGUCUGCAGCUCUUCCUAAGGGGGAAAACAACAGAGAGGGAAAGGUGCAACUUGGAACGAGAGGCAGUGUCACGCUACCAGUUAAAACAACAGCCACAACCUGCAAUAACCACACAAGCCCUGUACCCCCGGGUGGUGUGAGAGGAGAGCAACCACUGAUGAGAGUUUCAGGUGCUUUUUUUCUGCCCUUUCUCGGAGCGCUACGGAGCGGAGCCGGGGCUGCACGUCGCGCCGGGGCCGGCAGGCAGCGCUCAGCACCAAGCGAUGCACAGCCCCGUCCUCCCGAGGGGAGCAGCAGCUACAGGAGCAAAGAAAUCCUCUGUCUGCAGGAGGAAGAUAAAAUUUAUCAUUAAGCACAACGCUUUUAUCAUGGAUACUCUUAUUGCCCAACUUUAAACAGAAGCACCAUAAAUCUCACCAGAAAUCCACUCAUCGACAACCACUGUUUGCACACCACGAACACACAUUGACCUGCACUAAGGCUGCAGCUGGGUAACAGAAUAACACUUCACGUUGAUGCCAACUAAUAUCCAUAUGAGACUUACCUGGCAGUGGCAGGAGGAGAAGGAGGACAGGGUCCAAAACCCUCAAAGGCAACUUCUGAAACCACGCACCAGCAGCUCAGUACCUGAAGUGGCUGGAAAACAUCACUUGACUUCCAUCUUCCGUGUAAAUACGUUUUCCUUUGGAUGAAGAUGUCCCAGUCAGCCUCUGGGGAGGCAGGAAUACACCCUGUAGCCACAGCAGAAUGAGCUGAAAUGGUCACAAAAGGUCAAUGAAAUGAUUUUAUUAUAACUAAGGGCCUGGUCAUUGUGGAUACGUGGCGUUCACAAUAUUACCCCCUUGGUAACAACAGGGUAUUUUCAUGGCCCAUAAGGUACUGCAGGAUCAUUUGCAGCAGCUUUUACCCAGGUUUUCUCCUCAGAAGAAGGUUUCCCAUCCCUGAAGCACUCACUAAAGGCUCUGGGGACUGGGUUUGCCUUCCUGUGUGCGUCACAGCCAAUGUUGCUUGUUUAUAAUGUUUCCAUUUGUAAUUAUUGCACAAUUGAAUGAAGCGAGGUGCUUUGAUCACAUAAUCAUUACAUCUCCCCUGCUUUGAGGCUAACUGGGCAGCAUGACAGCAUCAGUUUUAAUCCCCAGGUGGUGCCAAUAAAAACAAGAACUUGUAGUUUAGUACAAAGCUAUCUGUGGUCUUCUAUUCCUUUAACAGCUAAUGAUAGAACAAAACUACAAAAUAUAGCAAUGAUCCCACAGCUGCAAACUACCCAUUAAAGCAACACAAGAUGUGCAAAGGAUGCCUGUCGGCACGCUCCAAGCCAAUGAAUCAUCUAAUGCCCUCCCAUAUGCACAGAGGAUUGCAGAUUUCAUUUAUUUCGCCGGUACCUGUCAGAGCUGAAGUAGAAGUGCAUUUAACAGGGGAUCAAAACCCAUCACCACUAGGAUUGGGAUGGAACCUCUUCAACUGUCAGAUUUCACAGCAGAGACUGCAUGACACUUUGGCAGGAUUUUCAUAACCCUGCCAUGUCAGAAAGUCAUAGGGCUGCUAGCUGCUUGAUCUGCAAGGCAAUUGCUAGUUGGGAAAAAUAAGUGAGGACAUCACCCAUUAUAUUCCACAAAGCACAGAACUGAAAAAUAAUAACAAGACAGAGAAUAGAUUCGGAUGGCUGAAACAGAUGGAUAUUCCCUCAGCAUAAAUGCCAAGUGUCAGUUAGACACAUCAGUUUUUUCCCUGCUGUAGGUUUUUAACAAGAGAAACAAGAAGAUUAGUAGGGUACAUACCACGAGUCUGCAAAGGUCUCUGUGAUCUCAAGUAAGGUGAGUUUACCGACAGUGCUCUCAGUGGUGUCCAGGGAGGCAUUCUCAGUUGGCAUUAAUUGGCACAGAAAGAUCAACGAAGCUGCAGUUUUUGCCUAGCUCUUUCUCUUCCAUCCUAUUUGUUUGCACAGAGGAACCGUUUAUGGACAGAUUCCUCCCUGGGAUGAUUUGUGCUAACUCCACAGUGCCUCCAGUAAACUCAUUUUUCUUGAAUCCCCUCUGGUACAGGGGCUGACGAAGGCAGUCGUGAUUCCUGGAUCUAUGCCCUUGGCAAGCUUGUGAUUAAUACCACCUCUUGGUCUUAGAGACUUGGGAUUUUAAGAACGUUGUGGUUUAAAACUGGAAUCUGCCAGACCACAGGAGCCUGAAGGACUUUCAGUUCCACUUGUUUUCUCUGUGGCAUCAGAUUAGUCUCAUUCCUACAUUAGUUUGUGCAGACUUUGUGUUCCCAAAAAGAGUCCCAUAGGGGUCCCUUGCAACCUCUUUAUACACAGAGAAUCACACUCAUGCUUUUCUGCUGCUCUCUCCUCUGACACUCCAUUUUUACUGCAUUCUCCUGCUGAUUCUUCUCCUAUAUAAACUUGAAUAAUUUAUGCUUUUUUAAUUAUUUCUUUUUCUACUAACUUUUUCACUUGUUUCUUGUUGGUAUUUGCAUUUCUCCGGUGCCGGUGUGAUCAACCCAGAGGAGGCAGGAUGGAAGUCUUGCAGCCUCAGCAUAG
rnacentral:lncRNA from 1 species